AAGAUAAGGCCGCUCGCUGACGCCGCGUUUCCUCUUUCGGCCGCGCUGGUGAACAGGACCCGUCGCCAUGGGCCGUGUGAUCCGUGGACAGAGGAAGGGCGCCGGGUCUGUGUUCCGCGCGCACGUGAAGCACCGUAAAGGCGCCGCGCGCCUGCGCGCCGUGGAUUUCGCUGAGCGGCACGGCUACAUCAAGGGCAUCGUCAAGGUGCGGAACGCUGGCCGGGGCGGGAGGGAAAGGGACGCCCGGCCGGAACGCCGCACUCACGCCGCCUCUGCCCACAGGACAUCAUCCACGACCCGGGCCGCGGCGCGCCCCUCGCCAAGGUGGUCUUCCGGGAUCCGUACCGGUUUAAGAAGCGGACGGAGCUGUUCAUUGCCGCCGAGGGCAUUCACACGGGCCAGUUUGUGUAUUGCGGCAAGAAGGGUUAGCAUCGCGGCGGGGAAGGAAGGUCGGGGUGGGGAGGGGUCUGGGUGUUGCCUGAGGAGUUAACGUCCUAAGCCGAUACGGGAACCUCGCAGGCAGAAGCUUCAGGUGGGGACAUCCGCGUGGCCACACCAGUGGCCACCGGUGGGUGCCGAGAGAGUUGUACCGGGAGGCUGGAUGUCGAAUGCUGUGCUCGCAACUUCGCGGGCUGCCUAGAGCGAGGGGGUUCGCAUUGCUUCUUACUGUGCUGACGGCCUGAUGCUGCUUCCCCUUGCAGCCCAGCUCAACAUUGGCAAUGUGCUCCCUGUGGGCACCAUGCCUGAGGGUACAAUCGUGUGCUGCCUGGAGGAGAAGCCUGGAGACCGUGGCAAGCUGGCCCGGGCAUCAGGCAACUAUGCCACUGUUAUCUCCCAUAACCCUGAGACCAAGAAGACCCGUGUGAAGCUGCCCUCCGGCUCCAAGAAGGUUAUCUCCUCAGCCAACAGAGCUGUGGUUGGUGAGUAUCAGGCAGCAGUUGAAUGCUGAGGGCUGUGGGUGAACAUGCUGUGAGUGCCGGUGGACAGCCAGUGGCUAGACUUGGUCCCUGGAAUUCGAUUACCUGUUGUUCUAAAACUUGGGUUCUGUAAGUUUGAGCUCAUCCUGUAGUCUCAGUUGUCAUCA
rnacentral:sRNA from 1 species